CGACCAGACUCCUACGGGAGGCAGCAGUGGGGAAUUUUGGACAAUGGGCGCAAGCCUGAUCCAGCUAUUCCGCGUGUGGGAUGACGGCCCUCGGGUUGUAAACCACUUUAGUAGAGAACGAAAAGGAGCUAUCGAAUAAAUAGCUCUGCCGACGGUACUCUAAGAAUAAGCACCGGCUAACUACGUGCCAGCAGCCGCGGUAAUACGGAAGGUCCGGGCGUUAUCCGGAUUUAUUGGGUUUAAAGGGAGCGUAGGCCGGUCUUUAAGCGUGCCGUGAAAUUUUGUGGCUCAACCAUGAGAGUGCGGCGCGAACUGGAGACCUUGAGUGCGCGGAAGGCAGGCGGAAUUCGUGGUGUAGCGGUGAAAUGCUUAGAUAUCACGAAGAACCCCGAUUGCGAAGGCAGCCUGCCGCAGCGUUACUGACGCUGAAGCUCGAAAGCGCGGGUAUCGAACAGGAUUAGAUACCCGCGUAC
rnacentral:rRNA from 1 species